GCCGAGGUGGUGUAGUGGUUUGAGCGUCGGGCUGCGAAUCUAAAGGCCAGGGGUUCGAUUCCCGGUUCGGUC